CCUAAACACGGAAAACAAUAUAUUUAUUGUCAAAAUUUUACGUAUUUUUUUAAUAAGUGUGAAAAAUCUAGAAUAUACACUAUUUUGAACAGAGGGAGUAGAUCAAGGUGGCGUCUGCUGUAGCAGCGGAAGCCCAAGCAAUUAAAUCUGCACUACUAGCUGCAGCAAAUGCAGGCUACCGUGAUCUAGAAGUCUUCUCGGAUUGCAAAAGCCUUGUCACCUUGAUCAACUCAAAUGCUUCAUCGGUGGCUCUGAAAAGUCUCCUCUACGACAUCUCGGUGUUGAGUCAAAAAUUUUCCUCUCUCUCCUUUACCUUUAUUCCUCCUGUGAACAAUGUAGUUGCUGAUGGCCUAAAUCAGCCCUGUCUUCUCUUUGUAACUCCUCCGUCAUGGAGUAACUCUGUUUCCGUUUUUUCAUAUUAUAAUUAAGGUUUGCCCAAAAAAAAGAUGGAUGGUUGUAAACUUACAAUAAAUAACACAUAUGAGCCGAUUCAUAUAGUUCUUGGGGCUAUUACAUGAACUAUAAAUUUUAGGGUAACUGCAUUCUGAAGCUUAUUUUAAGCAUUUUUGAAUUUCAAAAAGUAGGAUAUUUGGAACCAACUUGAAUACAGUUCUCAUUCAUAUGAAGUUAUCUGAUUUGAAUAUUCAAAACUUUAACAGAUUAGAUACAAGCUUGGAGGAGAUAUCGAAUCUCCUAUACAUUUGUACUUAUACGCAAUUUGUGAGAUACGGACAAAAGAGAGAGCACGAUGAUUUCGGAAUCGCAUAGACCUUGUGCAUCGGCCUCUUUUUGUGAAGAGUAGUCUUUAUCAAUCAAUCAUAAAAUCGGAUAAUAGAUCUCGUUGUCAUUAUUGGUUCAUUAUUGGUGCAUGGAAUUCUUUCAUGAUAAAUUUAUAUAUUGAUAAUCAAGAGAUGAUAAAAAAAUGUCCACGCAAACGAAUAAUGCAAGAUUUUUUUCAAGAUAAGGAGAGGAGAUACAGGUUCGAUUGAAUAUUGAUGGCUGUAAUUAAUAAUUAAUGAGCCACUAAUCCCCCCAAAUCUAUAGAUUUUUUCAAGAUAAGGUGAUACAGCAUGUGACAAUGGGGGAGAUCAUACAAAGGAUAUUUUUGGAGGCUUUUUGGCUGACAAAGCUGGUAGAGACCUAGUAAGACUCAAUCAGCCAUUUUAUCUAUUUGCUUCAGUUGAAACUUGAAACCGUUUAAAUUUUCUUAAAACAAUUUGUGUCUUCUGCAAAAUAUCCUCUUUGUCUUAAAGUGUUAUUCAAGGAUCACUUCGAGGAGACGUGCAAAGCUAUUAUGCCUAGACUUUGAGGUACAACAUUCUAUUGUGUACGAGACUUGUUAGUUUUGCUUCUUGAUUAUGUCAUUAAUUCUUUCGAGAUUUUAUAAGAGAAGCGAUGGUUUUUAAAA